GGAGUGGCCGAUGCCUGAUUAGCUAGUUGGUGGGGUAAGGGCCUACCAAGGCGACGAUCAGUAGUUGGUCUGAGAGGACGACCAGCCACACUGGGACUGAGACACGGCCCAGACUCCUACGGGAGGCAGCAGUGGGGAAUUUUGGACAAUGGGCGAAAGCCUGAUCCAGCAAUGCCGCGUGAGUGAAGAAGGCCUUCGGGUUGUAAAGCUCUUUCAGUCGAGAAGAAAAGGUUGUGAUUAAUAAUCACAAUUCAUGACGGUAUCGACAGAAGAAGCACCGGCUAACUACGUGCCAGCAGCCGCGGUAAUACGUAGGGUGCGAGCGUUAAUCGGAAUUACUGGGCGUAAAGGGUGCGCAGGCGGCUUUGUAAGUCAGAUGUGAAAUCCCCGGG
rnacentral:rRNA from 1 species